AGCAGCCGCGGUAAUACGAAGGGGGCUAGCGGUGCUCGGAAGUACUGGGCGGAAAGGGCGCGUAGGCGGAUCGUUAAGUCAGGGGGGAAAUCCCGGGGCUCAACCUCGGAAUUGCCCUUGAUACUGGCGAUCUUGAGUAUGAGAGAGGUAUGUGGAACUCCGAGUGUAGAGGUGAAAUUCGUAGAUAUUCGGAAGAACACCAGUGGCGAAGGCGACAUACUGGCUCAUUACUGACGCUGAGGCGCGAAAGCGUGGGGAGCAA
rnacentral:rRNA from 1 species